rfam:Aedes aegypti strain Liverpool supercont1.187 genomic scaffold, whole genome shotgun sequence.
AAAUCGGCCCUUUUAGGGCCACCGAGUAUUUACUAAAGAGUUGUUU